rnacentral:rRNA from 1 species
CCUACGGGUGGCUGCAGUGGGGAAUAUUGGACAAUGGGGGGAACCCUGAUCCAGCCAUGCCGCGUGUGUGAAGAAGGCCCUCGGGUUGUAAAGCACUUUCAGUGAGGAAGAACGCCUGGUGGUUAAUACCCAUCAGGAAAGACAUCACUCACAGAAGAAGCACCGGCUAACUCCGUGCCAGCAGCCGCGGUAAUACGGAGGGUGCGAGCGUUAAUCGGAAUUACUGGGCGUAAAGCGCGCGUAGGUGGCUUGAUAAGCCGGUUGUGAAAGCCCCGGGUUCAACCUGGGAACGGCAUCCGGAACUGUCAAGCUAGAGUGCAGGAGAGGAAGGUAGAAUUCCCGGUGUAGCGGUGAAAUGCGUAGAGAUCGGGAGGAAUACCAGUGGCGAAGGCGGCCUUCUGGACUGACACUGACACUGAGGUGCGAAAGCGUGGGUAGCAAACAGGAUUAGAUACCCGGGUAGUC